rnacentral:rRNA from 1 species
UACGUAGGGUGCAAGCGUUAUCCGGAAUUAUUGGGCGUAAAGAGCUCGUAGGCGGUUUGUCGCGUCUGCUGUGAAAACUGGAGGCUCAACCUCCAGCCUGCAGUGGGUACGGGCAAACUAGAGUGCGGUAGGGGAGAUUGGAAUUCCUGGUGUAGCGGUGGAAUGCGCAGAUAGUCAGGAGGAACACCGAUGGCGAAGGCAGAUCUCUGGGCCGUAACUGACGCUGAGGAGCGAAAGCAUGGGGAGCGAACAGGG